rnacentral:rRNA from 1 species
UAGUCCCCAUUUGGACACCUUGAGCUUGCUAGCUUGCCUCUCUAAGUAGCGCAAAGCCCCCGCACGCGRCAACAACAUCAGCAAGCGCRAAGCCGCGCCCGCCUCUSACGCCGCAGCGKGUCRAGRGCUUUGCGCGCGUGAAGAGAGAGUCAUGUUGUGGCGCUGGGCAACGCGCYCCCAGCUUGCGCGGCACGCCAACAGGGCCGCCCCAGCGAGCGCUGGGGCAGCCUCGGCGCCGCAGCGCUGGAGGCGCGCUGCCAUUGCUUGCUCCUAGCUCAGGCGGGAGAGCUCCCGCAGGCGCAGCGUCGCCGCCGCGAGGGGCGGGCCGGGAGCCGCGGCGCUCCGCAGCUGCCACAGCCCGCAGCCGCUUGCGGUCCCGCAGCGAGUCGACGCCGCCGAGCCUGCCCUGAGCGGGGCCAGUCGCCACCAAAACAAAGCCCGUGAGKGUCCUGGGCAGAACUUUG